rnacentral:rRNA from 1 species
GAUGAACGCUGGCGGCGUGCCUAAUACAUGCAAGUCGAGCGAACAGAUAAGGAGCUUGCUCCUUUGACGUUAGCGGCGGACGGGUGAGUAACACGUGGAUAACCUACCUAUAAGACUGGAAUAACUCCGGGAAACCGGGGCUAAUGCCGGAUAACAUUUAGAACCGCAUGGUUCUAAAGUGAAAGAUGGUUUUGCUAUCACUUAUAGAUGGACCCGCGCCGUAUUAGCUAGUUGGUAAGGUAACGGCUUACCAAGGCAACGAUACGUAGCCGACCUGAGAGGGUGAUCGGCCACAAUGGAGCUGAGACCCGGUCCGGACUCGUAAGGGAGCCAGCAGUAGGGAACGUGCCGCAAGGGGCGAAAGCCUCACGGAGCAACGACGCGUGAGUGAUGAAGGUCGUGGGAGCGUAAAACUCUGUUAUUAGGGAAAAAGAAAUGUGUAAGUAACUGUCCACGUUUAGACGGUACCUAAUAAGAACGCCAGGGAAAAACACG